GAUGAAGAACGCAGCGAAAUGCGAUAAGUAAUGUGAAUUGCAGAAUUCAGUGAAUCAUCGAAUCUUUGAACGCACAUUGCGCCCGCCAGUAUUCUGGCGGGCAUGCCUGUCUGAGCGUCAUUUCAACCCUCAUGCCCCUAGGGCGUGGUGUUGGGGAUCGGCCAAAGCCCGCGAGGGACGGCCGGCCCCUAACUCUAGUGGCGGACCCGUCGUGGCCUCCUCUGCGAAGUAGUGAUAUUCCGCAUCGGAGAGCGAUGAGCCCCUGCCGUUAAACCCCCAACUUUCCAAGGUUGACCUCAGAUCAGGUAGGAAUACCCGCUGAACUUAAGCAUAUCAAUAAGCGGAGGA
rnacentral:misc_RNA from 1 species